rnacentral:rRNA from 1 species
CACGUAGGGUGCGAGCGUUGUCCGGAAUUAUUGGGCGUAAAGAGCUCGUAGGCGGUUUGUCACGUCUGCUGUGAAAACUGGAGGCUCAACCUCCAGCCUGCAGUGGGUACGGGCAGACUAGAGUGCGGUAGGGGAGAUUGGAAUUCCUGGUGUAGCGGUGGAAUGCGCAGAUAUCAGGAGGAACACCGAUGGCGAAGGCGGCACUCUGGGCCGGUACUGACGCUGAGGAGCGAAAGCGUGGGGAGCAAACAGG